GUUGCUGUCCGGACAGAGCAAAAAAAACAAGGCAUCAGUAUUGUUGAGUAUUAGCUUGUACCUGGUUCGGAGGCUAAGUUUGCCGGAGAAGGCAGGGGUGAGCCACGGUGGCUGCCCGGCUGUGCACCGGCGCCGGAGUUUGGACCAAGACAAAGACAGGAGCUGUCCGCGGUGCUGAAUCGGCGGCGCCGUCGCCGGAGCAAGGGGGCUUCUGUAACCAGCCCUCUGCUCAUUUACUCCCCAUCCUUCUAGCUCCCCUUCGCUCUGUGACUCUUGCCUUCCCCUGAAUUUAUUUCCCUUUUGGGGGACUCACCUUAGAACCUGCGCCCUGUACACAGGUGUAUAUACAUAUAUCAAAGAACAAAACGAUUGAUUGAAAACGGUGUCUUCUCCUUUCUUCCCAAAUAAAUGAUGUUAGAAAGGUUUAUUUUAACUGUACCCUAAAACGGAGAGAAAUGGAUAUUUCUACUCCUAAAUAAAUGGAAAUUCAUGUUAAAAACAAUAGAGCUAACCUAUAAC
rnacentral:lncRNA from 1 species